rnacentral:rRNA from 1 species
UACGUAGGGUGCAAGCGUUAUCCGGAUUUAUUGGGCGUAAAGGGCUCGUAGGCGGUUCGUCGCGUCCGGUGUGAAAGUCCAUCGCUUAACGGUGGAUUCGCGCCGGGUACGGGCGGGCUUGAGUGCGGUAGGGGAGACUGGAAUUCCCGGUGUAACGGUGGAAUGUGUAGAUAUCGGGAAGAACACCAAUGGCGAAGGCAGGUCUCUGGGCCGUUACUGACGCUGAGGAGCGAAAGCGUGGGGAGCGAACAGG